GACGAACGCUGGCGGCGUGCUUAACACAUGCAAGUCGAACGGAAAGGCCCGGCUUUUGUGCGGUGCUCGAGUGGCGAACGGGUGAGUAACACGUGAGUAACCUGCCCUUGACUUUGGGAUAACUUCAGGAAACUGGGGCUAAUACCGGAUAGGAGCUCCUGCUGCAUGGUGGGGGUUGGAAAGUUUCGGCGGUUGGGGAUGGACUCGCGGCUUAUCAGCUUGUUGGUGGGGUAGUGGCUUACCAAGGCUUUGACGGGUAGCCGGCCUGAGAGGGUGACCGGCCACAUUGGGACUGAGAUACGGCCCAGACUCCUACGGGAGGCAGCAGUGGGGAAUAUUGCACAAUGGGCGGAAGCCUGAUGCAGCCAAGCCGCGUGGGGGAUGACGGCCUUCGGGUUGUAAACCGCUUUCGCCUGUGACGAAGCGUGAGUGACGGUAAUGGGUAAAGAAGCACCGGCUAACUACGUG
rnacentral:rRNA from 1 species